CACGUAGGGUGGCGAGCGUUGUCCGGAAUUUAUUGGGCGUAAAGAGCUCGUAGGCGGUGUGUCGCGUCGGCCGUGAAAACCUGCAGCUUAACUGUGGGCUUGCGGUCGAUACGGGCAUCACUGGAGUUCGGCAGGGGAGACUGGAAUUCCUGGUGUAGCGGUGAAAUGCGCAGAUAUCAGGAGGAACACCGGUGGCGGAAGGCGGGGUCUCUGGGCCGAUACUGACGCUGGAGGAGCGAAAGACCGGUGGGGAGCGAACAGG
rnacentral:rRNA from 1 species